CCUGAGUUCCACAGGUGAACAGCAGAGAGAGGUCCUCUCUCAGGCUCCCUGAUGAUAGCUGAAGCCCACUGGAAAAGUGAAGAGAAUCUGUGAUAUAGGCACAUCAGACAGCCAUACUUGGGUUGGAAAUUUCCUGUUUGCCUAGGACAAGUUUCUUCUGCUUCAAAGUGAUAUUCAACUAACUUGGCAAUAUGUAGUACUUGGCAAGGGAAUAGACCACUGCAGCACAUUAAUUAUUUCAGAAAAUGAUAAUGGCAUCUUUGUUCAACUGCAAACUACAAUUAAUCAAAAGCAACCACCAGCAACCCUAUUAGAAUUCUCAAUAGCAAUGGACUAAAUGUGUAAAUUAAUUUGGAAAGACCUGAUCUGUUAAUAAUAUUGCAUCUUCUCUUAUAGAAAAAUCAGUUACAUGCAGAGAACAGCAGUUCUUCAAUUUUGACAAAAAAUUUGGGAUCCUCAUUUGAAUGACAAAAUGUGGAUGCUGCAACAAGCAAUCUGGCAAUACGAGAAAACCUUUGCAUGAUUCUGAUACACACUUUGUUUGAGAACCCCUGGCUCAUAUAUCCUACUCCUGCCUCUUCAGCAAAUUUCAGAGUGUUUUCUAUAUUUAGAUAGAAAACAUGCCAUUUCUUCUGUAUGACAAAGUUUACUGCCAGAAAAACAUACAUGAUGUAUUCAAAAUUAUUUAAAUAUUUUCCAUACCUGAGGGUAUAUAUUUAAAUAUUUUAUGCUAUAUAAUUAUUUUUUCAGCUAAAAAUUCUUGCCAGAAUUUUCUGUAUUCU